UUUAACCUUGGUAAAAACCCACACCAUAUAGUAGUCCACUAUAUAAGGCCUUAAAAUUACAAAUAUGUUACAAUGAAAAAACUAACGGCCUAAUUUAAAACAAAACAAUUUACUUAAAACAGACAUGAACAAACGACAUAUGCAUUGCACUACGGCUUUCGACUUGAAACGGGCACAUAUCUGUUGUCGCAAGGUUAAACUAGUUUGCGGACGCCAUCCAACAACAUGAUACAGUAACGACAUAGUAUAUGAACCAACUGAACGUGGCAUUGGAUAUCUUACAAAACAAAGACACGAAGUUAAAUUUUGUAAGUCCUUGCAUUACUUGCAA
rnacentral:lncRNA from 1 species